rnacentral:misc_RNA from 1 species
AAGUCGUAACAAGGUUUACCGUGAGGUGAACCUGCGGAAGGAUCCAAUUGACCAAAAUAAAAGGGUCGUGGUAGGAAGUGGGGUCUUGAUCUGUAAGUGGUAGGGCGAACAGUCCGGCUGCCUCCCGAAAUGUCUUACAUGUCCCCCCACAGCCUGAAGGCCGAAUUUACAACCCUUGAUUAUCUACACUUUGUUUGCUUUUGGGGGUGCUCAAGUGCCCCAGAGGACCCAACUCUCUUGCAUUUUAGUGACGUCUGAGUACUAUAUAAUAUUUAAAA